rnacentral:rRNA from 1 species
GACGAACGCUGGCGGCGUGCUUAACACAUGCAAGUCGAACGGAAAGGCCCUGCUUUUGUGGGGUGCUCGAGUGGCGAACGGGUGAGUAACACGUGAGUAACCUGCCCUUGACUUUGGGAUAACUUCAGGAAACUGGGGCUAAUACCGGAUAGGAGCCCCAGCUGCAUGGUGGGGGUUGGAAAGUUUCGGCGGUUGGGGAUGGACUCGCGGCUUAUCAGCUUGUUGGUGGGGUAGUGGCUUACCAAGGCUUUGACGGGUAGCCGGCCUGAGAGGGUGACCGGCCACAUUGGGACUGAGAUACGGCCCAGACUCCUACGGGAGGCAGCAGUGGGGAAUAUUGCACAAUGGGCGGAAGCCUGAUGCAGCAACGCCGCGUGCGGGAUGACGGCCUUCGGGUUGUAAACCGCUUUCGCCUGUGACGAAGCGUGAGUGACGGUAAUGGGUAAAGAAGCACCGGCUAACUACGUG